rnacentral:rRNA from 1 species
UACGGGGGGAGCAAGCGUUGUUCGGAUUUACUGGGCGUAAAGGGCGCGUAGGCGGUCAGCACAAGUCAGUUUUGAAAUCUCCGGGCUUAACUCGGAAAGGUCAACUGAUACUGUGCGACUAGAGUGCGGAAGGGGCAACUGGAAUUCUUGGCGUAGCGGUGAAAUGCGCAGAUAUCAGGAGGAACACCGGUGGCGAAGGCGGUUCUCUGGGCAUGUUCUGACGCUGAGGAGCGAAAGUGUGGGGAGCGAACAGG